ACACAUACGUUUCCUUAUGUUAACACGUGUGUGAUAAAUAACAUGUGACACCCUCGAUUCAAUCGUACACUAAUCAUACACGCAAAUGUGUACGAUCAAGAUCAAGGACUCACAGGGAGAUAUCACAACACAACUCUAGACACAAAUUAAAAUAAUACAAGCUAUAUAUUACAAGCCAGGGGCCUCGAGGGCUCGAAUACAUAAGCUCGAAUACACAAGAGUCAGCGGAAGCAACAAUAUCUGAGUACAGACAUAAGUUAGACAAGUUUGCCUUAAGAAGGCUAGCACAAAAGCAACAUUGACCGAAAAGGCAAGGCCUCCUGCCUGGGAGCCUCCUAACUACUCCUGGUCGUCGGCGGCCUCCACGUAGUAGUAAGCAUCGGCGGUGGCAUCUGGUUCCUGGGCUCCGACAUCUGGUUGCAUCAACCGGAAAGGAGAAGAAAGGGGGAAAAGGGGGAGCAAAGCAACCGUGAGUACUCAUCCAAAGUACUCGCAAGCAAGGAUCUACACUACAUAUGCAACAUUAUCAAAGGAAGGCUGUAUAUGUGGACUGGGCUGCAGAAAUGCCAGAAUAGAGGGGAGAACCUAGUCCUAUCGAAGACUAGCAUCUUCUGGAAACCACCAUCUUGCAGCAACAGGAGGGAGUAGAGUAGCAUAAGGUAAAGUAGUAGUAGUGUUAUAAACCUCGGCCAGAGAUCCUUUCUCGACUCCCUGCGAGAAAGCAAUCCCAGAGCCAUACUAUCGAUUUCUCAUAUCCAUGUCUCAUCUCAAGUAUCCAGUUCUAGUUGUAUCGAUCGGGAUACAACUCCAAGUGUCCGUUACCGUAGGACAGGCUAUCGAUAGAUGUUUUCUUCCCUGCAGGGUUGCACCAACUUACCCACCAUGCUCGAUUAACUCCGGCCGGACGCACUUUCCUGGGUCAUGACCUGCCUCGGCCAAACAAUACGCCGCAACCCGACCUAGGCUUAAUAGAGAGGUCAGCACGCCGGACUAAACCUAUGCCCCCAGUGGUCAUGCGCCAUCGCCCCGGGAACUCCUGCACGUUGCGUACGUGGCCGGUGAGCAGACCUAGCUACCUCCUUUAAAAAGGCAGGUGCUUACCAGUCCAACCCGGCGCGCGCCGCUCAGUCGCUGACGUCUAUUCAGCUUCGGCUGAUGCAUACGACGCAGAACGCCCAUACUAUGCCCACGUGAUGGUUAGUGCUAUCAGGACAGAGGCCCCUCGGAUCAAAUAUCCAAAUCGUAGUGGAUUAGGAGCAUGCGGUAACAAGCAGAGACUCACGAAAGAUGUGAUCCCGUUGCCCCGUCUCGAGGACUUGCGACAAGGGCUAGGAAUGCCCGGCCAUGCCUAGUAAUUAUCUCGCGGGCACCCUCCAGGUCAAGCCGUCUCCAUAUCACUCGCGGGUACCCCUCAGGGUCGACCUGCCUUUCCAAGUGACAGUGGUAAAGUCCAAGUAUCCGUGUGUCCAAACAUCAAGGGGAAAACCCAAGGAAUCACCCCCGGUGAAUUCCACUCGAUGUAAUCAUCAAGGUGAACGUAAGAGGAACCACCCCCGAGGUUCACACUUGAGGGGUUGCACGACAGAGUCGUAUCGGAAGUGGUUAAGGCGGAAUCACCCUCGAUGACCACGACCGAAUAGCUACACUACAGGGUUAACAUCAGAAGUGCUGUAGAGGUCUCACCCUCGGCACUUGAUAGUAACCCAGUAGUGUCGAGCAACUAAGGGAAAGUGAUGUGCGGUGCCGGGGCCUGGUCUUCGAUCCCGUUGAUCGGGUCUUCGAUGAUGAAGCAGGGGCAACAAGGACAAGGUGGGGGUCACUGAUGGAUCACUAACGAAGCUAUACUAAGCAGUUUAGGAUAAGCAGGUAGGUAACAAUAAGCAAGUUACAAAAGCAGGCUAUGCAUCAGAAUAGGAGCAAACAAUAACUGUAGCAAAAUCUAAUGCAAGCAUGAGAGAAUGGAAUGGGCGAUAUCGGGAUGAUCAAAGGGGGGGCUUGCCUGGUUGCUCAGACGAGAAGGAGGGUCGUCGGUGACGUAGUCGAUCACGGCGGCAUCGGCAGCCGUCACGGGGUCUACCGAAGAGAAGAGGGGGGAGAAACAGUAAAUACAUAGCAAGCAAGUGCAUAACAGGACAACAGACAGAGCUAGACGUGUUCUAACGCGGUGCUACAUGUUACCGGUGAAGGGGAAUAACAUCUGGGAAUGCUUUCCCGAAGUUUAGCAUUUUCGGACAGGCGAAACGGAGGGGAAAGGUUUGAUGUUUACUAUGCUAGGCACGUGUGGCGGACGAACAGACCGCGUAUCCGGAUUCAUCUCGUCGUUCUGAGCAACUUUCAUGUAUAAAACUCUUUUAUCCGAGUUAUGGAUUAUUUUCUACGAAUUUCUAAAGUUCUAGCAAUAUUCUAGAAUUACUGGAAUUUUUUUAAUCCGAAAGUAUUAAAUACAGAAACUGCCAUGGGUACACAGAAGUGUACCCAGCAGUGUUGUAUGUGCAUGGCAGGUGGGACCUGUUGACUGCGGAGUCAGCAGUCAACAGUCCUAGUUGACUGGUCAAGGUGGGCCUGGGGGGCCAGCUGUCACACACUAUUAGUUUAACAGCUUUUAGAUUAAACAAAAAUAGUUUAAUUAGGGCGCGGGCCUAGUCUGUCAGUGACUUAAUUAGCAGGUGGGUUUAUUAGUGUCUAACCUAAACGCUACAGUGUCGGCCCCACUUGUCAGUGGCCAUUAGGGUUGUGGUUAGGGGCUAAUGGCUGGGCCCCAUCGGUCAUCUGCGCACCCGCGUUUAAAACGCGGUGGCGCACCGGCGGCAGCCACAGGAGCGGCGGCGAGGCCCGGGAAUCACCGUCCGGCGGCCAAAAUGCCCGCGGAUGGACGCGUUCGAAAGCACGCCCCGAGCUGCACCCAGCGAUGCUAAGCGCGCGAGCAGAAAACGCUCCGGAACAGCGAUGACGUUGACAAGGAUGAAGGUCGGAGCUCGGGCGAGCAUGGUUUCGACGAAGCGAAGCACGACAGGGGCUGCCGUUGGGUGCGUUGGCAAGUUGUUGUCGCUGCGCAUCGGACGAUGGUGGCGGUAGGUGUGGGGGCGGCCGGCAGCUGCACCAGUGUCGAGGACAGCGGCGGCGGGAGCUCGAACACCGACAAGAAAAGAGAUGCGCGAGGCGGGCGGCUCAUCUAACAGCAUCGGUGGGACCUACAGGUCGCCGCGGCCGCAUGGGCGCAACACGUUCGAGCGGAUGUGGUUGGGAGCGUGGAGCUCGUCGGCUACGGCGACGGCCGGCGCUCAGUGCUCGCGGGGAUAGCCGCUAGGGGAGGCAAAAGAGCACGGGGAGUGAGGGGAAAUGGAGGGAGGCUCACUGUGAGGCGUCGGAGAAGUUCAGCGAGCUCGGGGGGCACCGGAGCUGUCGAAUCCGUCGAUGGCGUUCGACAGCUGUGGCGGAGGAGUUGAGCUCGAUCCGGGCGUCUUGGGGCUUCCCACGUUGCGUAGCUCGGUGGGGAGGACGGGGUCGAUGGUGCGGAGCCUGGGGACACGAUGCCAGGGCAAUGGGAGCCCUGUGGCCGCGGUGGUGCAGCGGCGACGGCUACGGACUGAUUGAACAGAAGGGAAG
rnacentral:lncRNA from 1 species